rnacentral:rRNA from 1 species
UACAGAGGGGGCAAGCGUUGUUCGGAAUUACUGGGCGUAAAGGGCGCGUAGGCGGCCUGCUAAGUCGAACGUGAAAUCCCUGGGCUCAACCCAGGAACUGCGUCCGAUACUGGUUGGCUUGAAUCCGGGAGAGGGACGUGGAAUUCCAGGUGUAGCGGUGAAAUGCGUAGAGAUCAUGAGGAAGACCAGUGGCGAAGGCGGGUCUCUGGACAGUUCCUGACACUGAGGCACGAAGGCCAGGGGAGCAAACGGG